rnacentral:rRNA from 1 species
UACGUAGGGUGCAAGCGUUGUCCGGAAUUAUUGGGCGUAAAGAGCUCGUAGGCGGUUUGUCACGUCUGCUGUGAAAACUCGGGGCUUAACCCCGGGCCUGCAGUGGGUACGGGCAGACUAGAGUGCGGUAGGGGAGACUGGAAUUCCUGGUGUAGCGGUGAAAUGCGCAGAUAUCAGGAGGAACACCGGUGGCGAAGGCGGGUCUCUGGGCCGUAACUGACGCUGAGGAGCGAAAGCGUGGGGAGCGAACAGG